UAUUAUUAUUAACGUUUUACAAGUUUUCUCUUCGUCUUUAGUAUUUUUCCCCUAUGUCUCUCUCACUCCACGCACAGACCACGAGUUUUCACUCCAUUCCCAGAAGACAUCAACCUACCUAGAAGGGCUUACAGUCUUAAGGAUCCAACACUGCUGUGUUACACCAGUCAGGGCAAAGUUUUCAACCAUCAUUCAGAGUGAUAUACUUCAUAUCUCCUAUCUAUAAAUAGAAUAAUUUCAAACAAAUCUUGGAGGAGUUUAUUCAAAGUCAGCCGAUUGAUGAUCAAGGUAGGCCAAUCCAACCAACCCAAAAGGAGCUCAUGGACAUAUGGAUUAAGGCAGCUGGUGGCAUGCAUAAGGGGAGAGUUUACGGCCUUGAUUCGGAGCUUUUAGAGACCGAGUUCAGAGACGAGGGCAUCCCG